rnacentral:lncRNA from 10 species
GUGACACUGAAUUGGGAAGAGAAAUGUUUCCUCCACUUCUUCCUGGAACUCAGCACAGCUUAGUCACAGUGAGGGCUCAGGGGCUGGCUCCUGUCCAGCGUCAGUUGAGAGGACAGUAGAUCCAGGAAGCAGGACUCUAGACCAGGGCAUCUACAGCUGCAGAGGCCAGGGUGCUCUGAGACAAGGAUGAGAUGAAUCCUCACAGGCUUAGGGAAAGCAGACACUGAGGAGGAGGCCAGACACAGACAUCAUGAGAGGACUGUGCAGCAGCUCACUGGAGCAUCUCAGGCACCCAAGGAACUCGUGGAAACAACUGUGCAAGGCCCAGGUGGAGGAAUAGAGAACCUGCAGUUAUUCUGGAAAUUUAUUUAGGUCCUCAAAUAGCCAUUGCCUGCCGGCUCCCGUUGAAAUCUGUGAUGCUGAUGAAAGCCAUGAGCCCAGGAAGUGCUGGUCUGGCCAAAAGAUGCUGCUGUCAGCAG